rnacentral:rRNA from 1 species
GAUGAACGCUAGCGAUAGGCUUAACACAUGCAAGUCGAGGGGCGGCACAAGGUAGCUUGCUAUCUGGGUGGCGACCGGCGCACGGGUGCGUAACGCGUAUGCAACUUGCCCUAUACAGGAGGAUAACCCGUCGAAAGACGGACUAAUACUGCGUAUGCUCACAACUUGGCAUCAAGUGGUGAGGAAAGAAAUUCGGUAUAGGAUAGGCAUGCGUCCCAUUAGCUUGUUGGUGAGGUAACGGCUCACCAAGGCAACGAUGGGUAGGGGAACUGAGAGGUUUAUCCCCCACACUGGUACUGAGACACGGACCAGACUCCUACGGGAGGCAGCAGUGAGGAAGAUUGGUCAAUGGGCGCGAGCCUGAACCAGCCAAGUCGCGUGAAGGAUGACUGUCUUAUGGAUUGUAAACUUCUUUUAUACGGGAAUAACAAGAGUCACGUGUGACUCCCUGCAUGUACCGUAUGAAUAAGCAUCGGCUAACUCCGUG